rnacentral:rRNA from 1 species
GACGAACGCUGGCGGCGUGCUUAACACAUGCAAGUCGAGCGGUAAGGCCUUUCGGGGUACACGAGCGGCGAACGGGUGAGUAACACGUGGGUGAUCUGCCCUGCACUUCGGGAUAAGCCUGGGAAACUGGGUCUAAUACCGGAUAUGACCUCCUAUCGCAUGGUGGGUGGUGGAAAGAUUUAUCGGUGCAGGAUGGGCCCGCGGCCUAUCAGCUUGUUGGUGGGGUAAUGGCCUACCAAGGCGACGACGGGCAGCCGACCUGAGAGGGUGACCGGCCACACUGGUACUGAGACACGGCCCAGACUCCAACGGGGGGCAGCAGUGGGGAAUAUUGCACAAUGAGCGAGAGCCUGAUGCAGCGACGCCGCGUGAGGGAUGACGGCCUUCGGGUUGUAAACCUCUUUCAGCAAGGACGAAGCGCAAGUGACGGUACCUGCAGAAGAAGCACCGGCUAACUACGUG